rnacentral:rRNA from 1 species
UACGAAGGGGGCUAGCGUUGCUCGGAUUCACUGGGCGUAAAGGGUGCGCAGGCGGCCAAGUGUGUCAGGUGUGAAAUCCCGAGGCUUAACCUCGGAACUGCGCCUGAAACUACUUGGCUAGAGUACUGGAGAGGGUAACGGAAUUCACGGUGUAGCAGUGAAAUGCGUAGAUAUCGUGAGGAACACCAGAGGCGAAGGCGGUUACCUGGACAGUUACUGACGCUCAGGCACGAAAGCGUGGGGAGCAAAAGGG